GGCGGUGGGCAACUCUGUAUACGAUUCUGAUGAUUACGGUUAAAUUACAAAUCAGGCUGAUGAGGAAUAGACAAAUGCACAGACCCGUCUUACGAACGAGACAGAAGUAUUAGGCAACGGCAUUCCUAACACUAACGAAACAAAAGAACAAGUUUUUGAUGUUACCAAUACUACCCAGUCCACCUCGUGUACAAUAAUCACGUUCGGCAAAUGACGACUAAGUAUGAAGCUUAAAGCAAAAAAAAAAAACGGAAAAAAAAAACGAAAGAAAAACAUCCUGGGAUCGAUUUGUUCGACUGAAACCUUUCGAGGCGGUGCUCCAGCAUAGCCGCAGUCCAAUGAAUGAAACAAGUAAAAAAUAAAAAAUAAUAAAAAGGUAAAAAAUGAAAGAUAAGUGACAGUACUUGAUCAAAUAUACUCAGAGAAAUCCAGCAAAUCCCUACAAAAAUAGAGGGAAUAAUAAGGAAGUUAAUAAACACGUCUUGUUAUAUGUGAAGUAUUAAAGACCAACGAUCCGAACCCAUCGGUUUAAUGAGGUAUCACAAACUAUCACUGCGUAAAAUAGUUGUCUCGAAACUUAGACGUUUAAUUUUGAACUAAGGCCUAUAUAACAUGUUGUUGUUGGCACUCCGUCGCUUACGACGUCGAGGGUUCCAGUUGAUCCGAUCAACGGAACAGCCUGCUCGUGAAAUUAACGUGCAAGUAGCUGAGCACUCCACAGACACGUGUACCCUUUAACGUAGUUCUCGGGGGAGAUUCAGCGUGACACAGUGUGACAAGGCUGACCCUUUGAAUUACAGGCACAACAGAAACAGGAAGUAAGAGUGAGAGAAAGUUGUGGUGGAAGGGUACAGCAGGGUUCGCCACCAUCCCCUGCCGGAACCUCGUGGGGCUUUAGGUAUUAAAUGCAACUGUAUUGAUUCCGUACACAACAAUGUCUUUAUUAUGAAUUAUAUAUAAGCGUAUUUAACAUCCCCUUCAUAAUUUGUUUCGUUGGGAGUGUAUUCAUGUU